ACGUGCUCGUUCACGACACCAGCGACCGCGCGCACGUAGCUGUCAGUAGGAAAUGCUGGGUGUUCGGAUAGUGUGCCCUGCAGCCGCUAAGCUUGAAUAAUUUGAACGCGUAGCGUUCUUUUACUAACAAUGAACGUGUUCUAAAGUUUUUUACUUCAGUUUGAUGAGGCUGAUAGUGCGCGUGUCUCAUUGUGGAGACCGAAACCUUUAGAUGAAUAGCUCGGCUAACAGGAACGACGCUAAUGCUAAUAGUUAAAAAGGGCUAAAAUUAGCUAGCUUGCAACUUAGCUUGCUAAUUGCGGGACAUUUGCGCCUUCAUCGGCCAACACUUUUCUGCCUUUCUGUCCGGUCGGGUGGGUUGGGACCCCUCGCUGAACGGAGGACGCUGUGGAGCCGGAGCUGUGGCGGGGGGCUGUAUGUCCAGGAACCCCCUGGCUACCCAGGAGGACGGAUCGCAGUGACACGCAGGUCGAGGGAGAGAUCAGUGGGGAACCAUGGCUGAGCUCUCCACGUUAUCCCCAUCUCCGCCUGCGUUGGGCGAUCCCGGCGCAGCCCCACCCAUAACCUCGUCUUCAUCCGUGCUCCCUCCUGUCACCAACCCUCCUCCAGAAUCUAUUCAGGAAAUGCCUCUACCCAAGUCUUCCCUUUACAAUGACAAAGCUCUGAGUGGAAGCGCUUCUACAGCAUCCUCAAAAGCUUCACCAUCUACUCCACAUUUGUCCUCGACUCCUGCAAAACCUGUAGCAGAAACUCCCCCGCCAUCGUCGGGAAAUCAGGAGUCAAAUGAAACUAAAAACGGAGAUCUUAUCGAGAAUGAGAGCAGUGUCCCGGCUGCUGCAGAACUACCCAAUACUAUAGAAGCUCCACAGCUUUCAAGUGGGCCGUCAGAUCCAAACACAGAGCUGCAAGCUUCUUGCUCACCCGAUGUUGGCCCAACUCUGUACCCCAACGUGCAAGUCAGCCAUAACCCAAACCCUCCCACUGAGGAUGAGAAGGUCCCCGACUCGAAUCCCCCACCUGCUCCAUCAGCUGAGGUGGAGACUCCUCCUCAGCCAGUUGAUCAAGAACAAAAUCCUCCAAGCAAACCGCCUCCUUUGUCCCCAAAGCCUCACUUAUCUGGCGAACCCAACAAGCAAGAACUUUUCAACACUCCAACCCGAGCUGGACACUCCAGCCCCACGGUCCCAACGAUCCAAGAGCCCGUCCUUCCAAACUUCACCCCGCGGCCGGCCCCCGACACGCUCAGCUACCUGGAAUCAGCCAGCCUGAUGUCGGGAACACUGGAGUCCCUAUCUGGGCUGGGAGAGGACGGGAGCUCCGUGGGCUCCGACUCCGAGAUCAAUGGCCUCACUGUCAGACGCACAGAUAAAUACGGCUUCCUGGGCGGGAAUCAGUACAGUGAAGCAAAUGAAAAGGAUGUUCGAGUGGAAGUUGCCCGGCAGAGAGAAAUGAAAUGGCUGGAAAUGUUCGCCCACUGGGAGAAGUGGGUCAAGCAUCGCUUCCAGAAGGUGAAGCUGCGCUGCAGGAAGGGGAUUCCCUCCUCUCUCCGGGCCAAAGCCUGGCAGCUGCUGUCCAACAGCGAAGAGCUCCUGCAUGCUAACCCAGGCAAAUUUGAGGAGCUGGAGAGGGAGCAGGGGGAAGCUAAAUGGCUUGACAUUAUUGAGAAGGAUCUUCACCGGCAGUUCCCCUUUCACGAAAUGUUUGCAGCCCGCGGUGGCCAUGGUCAGCAGGAUCUGUAUCGCAUACUGAAGGCUUACACCAUCUACCGACCGGACGAGGGUUACUGCCAGGCCCAGGCUCCAGUGGCUGCUGUGCUGCUCAUGCAUAUGCCUGCUGAGCAAGCGUUUUGGUGCCUUGUCCAGAUCUGUGAGAAGUAUCUUCCUGGUUAUUACAGCGCCGGCCUGGAGGCGAUCCAGCUGGACGGCGAGAUCUUCUUCUCGCUGCUGCGGCGCACAUGUCCAAUGGCGUACCGCCAUCUGAAGAAGUUCAAGAUAGAUCCGAUUCUCUACAUGACCGAGUGGUUUAUGUGCAUCUUCUCUCGCACGCUGCCUUGGUCCUGCGUCCUGCGCGUGUGGGACAUGUUUUUCUGUGAAGGAGUGAAGAUAGUUUUCCGAGUUGGUUUGGUGCUGCUGAAACAGAUGCUCGGGUCUGUGGAUAAACUGCGGGAGCUGCAGGGCAUGUACGAGACCAUGGAGCGCCUCCGAAACAUCGCGCCCGAAUCUGUCCGGGAGGACCUGCUGGUGCAGGAGGUCAUUGCUCUCCCGGUGACUGAGACUCUCAUCGAGAGGGAGUGCAGCGUCCAGGUGAGGAAAUGGAGGGAAUCCAGGGGCGAGCUGAUGCACCAGCCGGGCCGCCGCCUUCACGGUACAAGGGCCGUCUAUGAGCACAAGAGGCGCGCUGCCGCCAUCACUUCAGGAGGCAGCUUUUCUUUUCUCGGAAGCCCGAUCCCCCCUCCAGGACCCCUCAGGGCUUCCUCCAGCCUCCUCUCCCUCCCCGGAUUCAGAAGAUCCAAAGCUCCUUUCCAAUCCCAGACAAAGAAAGGCUCCUUUUCCGGGCCGUCGGGGUUUGAGGGGGUGCCGCAUCAAUCCCCACCGGUGGUGACCUCAGGCCAGGCUUCGAGUCUCAAACCGCCCAUCCCUCCAGGAGCCGCUCCGAAGCCUCCAUCAGUUCAGAACCCCCCAGCUCCGGCGGUGGAAACCCCACCCGCCGAGGCCCCAACGCAAAGCACAGCCCCACCCAACACUCUGUCUCCGUCCCCCGUGGUCGUUUCCGAGCAAAUCACUCCCACCAUCCCGUCUCCUACUGCAAACAACGCUCCCCUGCAGCCCCUCCCCGCCCCACCGAAGGACGCCACGCCCGCGGCCAACGCCCCGGCGGCAGAGGACGACGGCAAAAAGAAGAAGAAAAGCAAAGAAGACAAGAAGAAGGAAAAGGAAGACGAGAAGAAAAAGAUGAAAGAAAAGAAGGACAAGGAGAAGGCCGAAAAGGAGAGGCUGAAGAAAGAGAAGGAGAAGCAAGAAAAAGAGAAGAAGAAAGUGGCCAAGAAGAAAGAGAAAGGGGGAGGAGAGGCGGAUAACAAAAAUGGAGCCACGGCGGCGAAAGAUUCGGCCUAGUUUCUCCCGACCUCUGCAGGAUCAUGAAAAGGGAGACCGAACAAAAUAAAGAGGUCAGACGAACAAAAAGCCCCUCAUCCCGCCGGCCGAACCGUGAUGGCGUUUUAGCUCCUCCCACAUUUUUCACUCCGUUUUCUCGAAAUGGGAGACUUUUUUCAGUGUCUGUUUUUAAUUAGUCGUUGCCUAAUCAAUACUUUAAUCAAAGCUAAAAGGGGGAAUUUAGCAACAAGUUGUUACAGUUUAAAAACGUCGGCCCAUCUGUCCUUUUGCAUCUGUGAUCAGGCACAUUUUCAUCUCAAGUGCAGGAACUGAAGGCAGAAUUGUUAGUCGUGUUGUAUUUAUUGUCUAGUUAAAUGUUGUGAGUGUGUGCCUUAGUAGGUUAGUGACUUGUGUUUGCUGUGCGUGGUCCUCCUCUGCCUGCUUUUUACAUUUCUCCUCAGGUCAAACCACAUUUCAGUCGUUCUGGGGUUUUAGCGGACAAACGGGCUGAAUGCAUCCUGUAAAGAGGAGCGUGUAUAGUUUUUAUUUUACUUUGAUGCUGCAGUUUUAUCUGUCUUAGUUCUGAAGGGUGCGAAAGCUGGCGCGUUAUCGCUGUGCGUCAGCGGUGCAUGAAGACCAAACGUCCUGCAAAAACGUUGUUGUCAAAGAUAAAAAAAGGACUUGCAAAAGAACAGAAUGUGAUCCGAUGCAUCCGAAUGGAAUUGAAGGAUGUGUUUUUGCACUUGUGCUUCGGGAGAGCCGGUCUGAACAGAUCAAAAUCUCUGCUUCGAGGAUCCAUAGGAAGCCACUCGACUGGAGGCGCCGGGAUGAAGAGACACCUGAUAGACUGGAACGAUGGCGAACGUUUUGCUGCAUGAAGAUAUUUUUUUUUCUUCUUUCGUUCGUCUUUUUGCAUGUCCUCUGCCUUUUUAUUCGGGCUGGUUUGAUUUUUAAAAAUCGAUUCGAAUUGAUUUAAACUUAAUAAACAUUAAAACAAAAAUUGAUUUUGGCACAUAAAAGCUAAAGUCCGCUAGCUUGAUGCUAACGCUUAAUGGAAUAGGUCGGC